AUGGCGGUGGUGUUGCGGUAUGUUGGUAAAUGUGGAAGUGCCAUAGAGACAUUAGUUGGCCUUACUCAUGUGAAGGAGACAACUUCCAAGUAUCUCAAGUCUGCCAUUGAUGAUUUAUUUGCAGAAUAUAAGUUAAGUUUCAAGCAAGUUAGAGGGCAAGGAUAUGAUGGUGCGAGCAAUAUGCGAGUCUUGUUGAAUGUGGUCUCUGGAUCUUCAAAGAGAAAGGACUUGAUUCGAGACAAAUAUAAAGAACAAGUGUGUGAAGCUUUAGGUUGUGGACUACUAAAAAGUGGUACAUGA
rnacentral:rRNA from 1 species